UACGUAGGGAGCAAGCGUUGUCCGGAAUCAUUGGGCGUAAAGCGCGCGUAGGUGGCCCCAUAAGUCCGCUGUGAAAGUCAAAGGCUCAACCUUUGAAAGCCGGUGGAUACUGUGGGACUAGAGUACGGAAGAGGCGAGUGGAAUUCCUGGUGUAGCGGUGAAAUGCGCAGAUAUCAGGAGGAACACCGGUGGCGAAGGCGGGUCUCUGGGCCGAAAUUGACGCUGAGGAGCGAAAGCGUGGGGAGCAAACAGG
rnacentral:rRNA from 1 species